GAUCUCACUGGCUCAGGAAUGAAGCUGCAGACCCUCGCGGUGAGUGUUACAGUUCUUAAGGCGGCGUAUCCGGAGUUGUUCGUUCCUCCCCGUGGGUUUGUGGUCUCGCUGGCUUCAAAAGUGAAGCUGUAGACCUUUACAGCGAGUAUCACAGCUCACAAAAGCAAUGUGGAACCAAACAGCAAAAAAAAAAAAAAAAAAAAAAAAAAAAAAAAAAAAAAACACCACCACACACACACACCCCAUGCAGAAAGGAACCCCAGUACAUUACCACUGCAGAGCCGGGCAGCCUGCUUUUAUUCUCUUAUCUGGCCCUACCCACAUCCUGCUGAUUGGUCCAUUUUACAGAGAGCUGAUUGGUCUGUUUCACAGAGAGCUGAUUGGUCCGUUUUGACAGGGUGCUCAUUGGUGCUUUUACAAUCCCUGAUCUAGACCCAAAAGUUCUCCACGUCCCUACUAGAUUAGCUAGAUACAGAGUGCUGAUUGGUGUAUUUACAAACCCUGAGCUAGACACAGAUUGCUAAUUGGUGCAUUUACAAACCUUGAGCUAGAUACAGAGUGCCUAUUGGUGUAUUCACAAUCCCUUAGCUAGACAUAAAGGUUCUCCAAGUCCCCACCAGAUUAGCUAGAUACAGAGUGCCGAUUAGUGCAUCCACAAACCCUGAGCUAGACACAGGGUACUGAUUGGUGUGUUUAUAAUCCCUUAGCUAGACAUAAAGGUUCUCCAAGUCCCCACUAGA
rnacentral:lncRNA from 1 species